AACGAACGCUGGCGGCAUGCCUAACACAUGCAAGUCGAACGAGACCUUCGGGUCUAGUGGCGCACGGGUGCGUAACGCGUGGGAACCUGCCCUUAGGUUCGGAAUAACUCCCCGAAAGGGGUGCUAAUACCGGAUAAUGUCUUCGGACCAAAGAUUUAUCGCCUUUGGAUGGGCCCGCGUUGGAUUAGCUAGUUGGUAGGGUAAAAGCCUACCAAGGCGACGAUCCAUAGCUGGUCUGAGAGGAUGAUCAGCCACACUGGGAAUGAGACACGGCCCAGACUCCUACGGGAGGCAGCAGUGGGGAGUAUUGGACAAUGGGCGAAAGCCUGAUCCAGCAAUGCCGCGUGAGUGAUGAAGGCCUUAGGGUUGUAAAGCUCUUUUACCCGGGAUGAUAAUGACAGUACCGGGAGAAUAAGCUCCGGCUAACUCCGUG
rnacentral:rRNA from 1 species